rnacentral:rRNA from 1 species
UACAUGUGGGGCAAGCGUUGUUCGGAAUUACUGGGCGUAAAGGGUGCGUAGGCGGUUCUUUAAGUCAGGGGUGAAAUCCUGGAGCUCAACUCCAGAGCUGCCUUUGAUACUGAGGAUCUUGAGUUCGGGAGAGGUGAGUGGAACUGCGAGUGUAGAGGUGAAAUUCGUAGAUAUUCGCAAGAACACCAGUGGCGAAGGCGGCUCACUGGCCCGAUACUGACGCUGAGGCACGAAAGCGUGGGGAGCAAACAGG